rfam:Triticum aestivum genome assembly, contig: Triticum_aestivum_CS42_TGACv1_scaffold_592230_7BS
CAACUACUCCCUCUGUCCCAAAUUUCUUGUCUUAGAUUUGUCUAGAUAUGGAUGUAUCUAAUACUAAAAUGUGACUUGAUACAUCCGUAUCUAGACAAAUCCAACACAAGAAUUUUGGGACGGAGGGAGUACUUU